UACAGAGGUGGCGAACGUUGUCCGGAUUUAUUGGGUGUAAAGGGCAUGUAGGUGGUUUUGUAAGUCAAAGGUGAAAUGGCCCGGCUUAACCAGGUCAUUGCCUUUGAAACUGCAGGACUCGAGUGCGGAAGAGGAAAGCGGAAUUCCCAGUGUAGCGGUGAAAUGCGUAGAUAUUGGGAGGAACACCGGUGGCGAAGGCGGCUUUCUGGUCCGAUACUGACACUGAGAUGCGAAAGCCAGGGGAGCAAACGGG
rnacentral:rRNA from 1 species